rnacentral:rRNA from 1 species
UACAGAGGGUGCAAGCGUUGUUCGGAAUUAUUGGGCGUAAAGCGCGUGUAGGCGGUGGUUCAAGUCGGGUGUGAAAGCCCCCGGCUCAACUGGGGAGGGUCAUUCGAUACUGCUCGACUUGAAGGCAGGAGAGGGUAGUGGAAUUCCUGGUGUAGCGGUGAAAUGCGCAGAUAUCAGGAGGAACACCGGUGGCGAAGGCGGGUCUCUGGGCCGAUACUGACGCUGAGGAGCGAAAGCGUGGGGAGCGAACAGG